GCUGGCGGCGUGCUCAACACAUGCAAGUCGAACGGAAAGGCCCUGCUUUUGUGGGGUGCUCGAGUGGCGAACGGGUGAGUAACACGUGAGUAACCUGCCCUUGACUUUGGGAUAACUUCAGGAAACUGGGGCUAAUACCGGAUAGGAGCUCCUGCUGCAUGGUGGGGGUUGGAAAGUUUCGGCGGUUGGGGAUGGACUCGCGGCUUAUCAGCUUGUUGGUGGGGUAGUGGCUUACCAAGGCUUUGACGGGUAGCCGGCCUGAGAGGGUGACCGGCCACAUUGGGACUGAGAUACGGCCCAGACUCCUACGGGAGGCAGCAGUGGGGAAUAUUGCACAAUGGGCGGAAGCCUGAUGCAGCAACGCCGCGUGCGGGAUGACGGCCUUCGGGUUGUAAACCGCUUUCGCCUGUGACGAAGCGUGAGUGACGGUAAUGGGUAAAGAAGCACCGGCUAACUACGUGCCAGCAGCCGCGGUGAUACGUAGGGUGCGAGCGUUGUCCGGAUUUAUUGGGCGUAAAGGGCUCGUAGGUGGUUGAUCGCGUCGGAAGUGUAAUCUUGGGGCUUAACCCUGAGCGUGCUUUCGAUACGGGUUGACUUGAGGAAGGUAGGGGAGAAUGGAAUUCCUGGUGGAGCGGUGGAAUGCGCAGAUAUCAGGAGGAACACCAGUGGCGAAGGCGGUUCUCUGGGCCUUUCCUGACGCUGAGGAGCGAAAGCGUGGGGAGCGAACAGGCUUAGAUACCCUGGUAGUCCACGCUGUAAACGGUGGGUACUAGGUGUGGGGUCCAUUCCACGGGUUCCGUGCCGUAGCUAACGCUUUAAGUACCCCGCCUGGGGAGUACGGCCGCAAGGCUAAAACUCAAAGGAAUUGACGGGGCUCCGCACAAGCGGCGGAGCAUGCGGAUUAAUUCGAUGCAACGCGUAGAACCUUACCUGGGUUUGACAUGGAUCGGGAGUGCUCAGAGAUGGGUGUGCCUCUUUUGGGGUCGGUUCACAGGUGGUGCAUGGCUGUCGUCAGCUCGUGUCGUGAGAUGUUGGGUUAAGUCCCGCAACGAGCGCAACCCUUGUUCACUGUUGCCAGCACGUUAUGGUGGGGACUCAGUGGAGACCGCCGGGGUCAACUCGGAGGAAGGUGGGGAUGACGUCAAGUCAUCAUGCCCCUUAUGUCCAGGGCUUCACGCAUGCUACAAUGGCUGGUACAGAGAGUGGCGAGCCUGUGAGGGUGAGCGAAUCUCGGAAAGCCGGUCUCAGUUCGGAUUGGGGUCUGCAACUCGACCUCAUGAAGUCGGAGUCGCUAGUAAUCGCAGAUCAGCAACGCUGCGGUGAAUACGUUCCCGGGGCUUGUACACACCGCCCGUCAAGUCAUGAAAGUUGGUAACACCCGAAG
rnacentral:rRNA from 1 species